rnacentral:rRNA from 1 species
ACUUAUAAGAGGUCUAGCCUGCCCAGUGAAAAAAAUUCAACGGCCGCGGUAUCCUAACCGUGCGAAGGUAGCGUAAUCACUUGUUCUUUAAAUAAGGACUAGUAUGAAUGGCAUCACGAAGGUUAUACUGUCUCCCAUUUUUAAUCAGUGAAACUAAUCUCCCCGUGAAGAAGCGAGGAUAAAACUAUAAGACGAGAAGACCCUAUGGAGCUUUAGACUAAGCAACUUUUGUUAUUUAAACACUUAUACCCUCCGGAAAUCCAAUUAUAUUUUCUCAUAUUGAUUGCUUGUCUUAGGUUGGGGUGACCGCGGAGCACAACAUAACCUCCACAAUGAAAGAAACUUAAUUUCUUAACCCAGAAUUACAAUUCUAAGUACCAAAAAUUUGACAUAAAUUGACCCAAUAAAUUGAUCAACGAACCAAGUUACCCUAGGGAUAACAGCGCAAUCUACUUCAAGAGCCCAUAUCGACAAGUAGGUUUACGACCUCGAUGUUGGAUCAGGGUAUCCUAGUGGUGCAGCCGCUACUAAAGGUUCGUUUGUUCAACGAUUAA